UGCAAAGCUCUAUUCCCCACUCCUGAUCCUAUUUAACAGCAAUUAUUAGUCCUUUGACAGUUCUGCCUGCUAUUGGCAGUAUCAUUUAAUUUGCUUAAUUUCCUGACAUUUGCUAUGUUAAUUUUUUUACUUGGGGUUUUCUAAUGCAUGACUUGUGCUUAAAAUAGAAAAGCCCUCCACUAAGACUCAGUUAUAUCACCUAAGUACUACAGUUGUCCCAGAUGUAAUAGGAAGAGAUAAAGAAGGGAUCACAGAUAAUAAAUUUUCCCUGCUUUCUCCACAAAUUUAUUACUGCAAGCUUUAAGUCUCAACUUUUAUUGAUAAAUAUAAAUAGGAGUUAUGUAAGGGCAGUCUGUGCCUAUUUAUAAUAGCUUUCAAAUCUGAUUUUAGUCAUUGCUAAGGCCAAACCACUACAUAAAAAGUCCUGAAUCAAUCUAAGAAAAAAAAAAAAAGGUAUUUGUUGCAUAACCUGUUUUUAUUGCAUAUGCAGUUCAUUUUAUGAUUUCUGUAAUUAAAGUAAUAAAAUUAAAUUAUAUUUUUCAGUGACCUAUCAGAUACACAUACACUUUAUUUCAUGAAGCAACUGAUGGUCAUUUCUUGGGGAGCCGGGGAGAAGGAAGGUAGUGUUUUCAAUUGCUUAUGAGCCUUUUAGC
rnacentral:lncRNA from 1 species